rnacentral:rRNA from 1 species
CUGCCUACGGGGCGCAGCAGUGAGGAAUAUUGGUCAAUGGGCGCGAGCCUGAACCAGCCAAGUAGCGUGAAGGAUGACUGCCCUACGGGUUGUAAACUUCUUUUAUAAAGGAAUAAAGUGAGGCACGUGUGCCUUUUUGUAUGUAUUUUAUGAAUAAGGAUCGGCUAACUCCGUGCCAGCAGCCGCGGUAAUACGGAGGAUCCGAGCGUUAUCCGGAUUUAUUGGGUUUAAAGUGAGCGUAGGCGGAUUAUUAAGUCAGUUGUGAAAGUUUGCGGCUCAACCGUAAAAUUGCAGUUGAUACUGGU